UACACACCGCCCGUCACACCACGAAAGUUGGCCAGACCAGAAGUAGCUGCGUUAACCCGCAAGGAGACAGGCCACUAAGGUCAGACCAGUAAUUGGGGUG
rnacentral:rRNA from 1 species